AGAGUUUGAUCAUGGCUCAGAACGAACGCUGGCGGCAGGCUUAACACAUGCAAGUCGAACGAGCUCUUCGGAGCUAGUGGCAGACGGGUGAGUAACGCGUGGGAAUCUACCCAGUUCUUCGGGAUAACUGAUGGAAACGUCAGCUAAUACCGGAUACGCCCCUUGGGGGAAAGAUUUAUCGGAAUUGGAUGAGCCCGCGUAAGAUUAGCUAGUUGGUGGGGUAAUGGCCCACCAAGGCGACGAUCUUUAGCUGGUCUGAGAGGAUGAUCAGCCACACUGGGACUGAGACACGGCCCAGACUCCUACGGGAGGCAGCAGUGGGGAAUAUUGGACAAUGGGGGCAACCCUGAUCCAGCCAUGCCGCGUGAGUGAUGAAGGCCUUAGGGUUGUAAAGCUCUUUCACCGGUGAAGAUAAUGACGGUAACCGGAGAAGAAGCCCCGGCUAACUUCGUGCCAGCCGCCGCGGUAAUUC
rnacentral:rRNA from 1 species